UAUCCAUAUCCGCAAGAAAUUCUCUCAUUAGCAAUUUAGCAAGAUAGACCGUGGAUAUUCAUAUUGUGUUCAAAACUGGAUUAAGAUUAAUGUAAACGGGAAAUGAAUGUAUACAUUGUUUAAAACGAAAAAAGGUAAAUGGCGAAAAAAUGUCUGCAAGUGUUAUUAAUCCUCGGAAUGCUGUUCAUUCGCAGAAGUUCCCAACAAUUACCCGGCGCUAUCUACGGAGCAAGCUUUGAUGCUUCUGCUGAAAAUAUACUUUUGAAUGAAUAUCUGAACAAUUUAUGUUUGGUAAAUGGCGUUUAUCAACAGUGCGAUAGAGUCGACAAAGAGAGAAAAAAACUCUUGUUACUGUUUAUAUUUUAUCUGCUUUGUAUUCCUUGGCAGUCGUCCACACCAAUCAUCGUAGAAAUUAUGGACACCAUCAUACCCGGCCCUAACCCCGGCCCUGACCCAGGGCCUGGUCCCGGGCCAGGUCCAAAUUAGCGUUUUGUAUCGACUCGGGAUUAAAACUCACAUCUGCAUUCUGUUUAUUGUGAAAUGAUAACCAAUAUAACUGAAAACUUCUUCAUAAAAAAUGUAAACAGCGACUGCGUAAAUACUAGAAUUCACCGGUGUCUUGUCAGUACCAUGACUUGGAGGACUACAGUGUGUUUUCCAAGAGUGUUUCUCUCAGAAUCAAAUAAAAUACUAGACGUGCAUGUAAAUGUGUUCUUAUGAUGAAAUGUAACAAAAAUCACUGCACUGUUUAUGCCAGUAUCACGUUAGUUCUCCCAUGUCUACAAAUUCCACGAGAAAAUCAAUGAAACUGCAAUAAACUAGACAUACCGGUGU